rnacentral:rRNA from 1 species
AACGAACGCUGGCGGCAUGCCUAACACAUGCAAGUCGAACGAGACCUUCGGGUCUAGUGGCGCAAGGGUGCGUAACGCGUGGGAACCUGCCCUUAGGUUCGGAAUAACUCCCCGAAAGGGGUGCUAAUACCGGAUAAUGUCUUCGGACCAAAGAUUGAUCGCCUUUGGAUGGGCCCGCGUUGGAUUAGCUAGUUGGUAGGGUAAAAGCCUACCAAGGCGACGAUCCAUAGCUGGUCUGAGAGGAUGAUCAGCCACACUGGGACUGAGACACGGCCCAGACUCAUACGGGAGGCAGCAGUGGGGAAUAUUGGACAAUGGGCGAAAGCCUGAUCCAGCAAUGCCGCGUGAGUGAUGAAGGCCUUAGGGUUGUAAAGCUCUUUUACCCGGGAUGAUAAUGACAGUACCGGGAGAAUAAGCUCCGGCUAACUCCGUG